UACGGAGGGUGCAAGCGUUAUCCGGAUUCACUGGGUUUAAAGGGUGCGUAGGUGGGCAGGUAAGUCAGUGGUGAAAUCUCUGGGCUUAACUCAGAAACUGCCAUUGAUACUAUCUGUCUUGAAUACCGUGGAGGUCAGCGGAAUAUGUCAUGUAGCGGUGAAAUGCUUAGAUAUGACAUAGAACACCAAUUGCGAAGGCAGCUGGCUACACGAAUAUUGACACUGAUGCACGAAAGCGUGGGAUCAAACAGGAU
rnacentral:rRNA from 1 species